rnacentral:rRNA from 1 species
GGGGAAUAUUGGGCAAUGGGCGAAAGCCUGACCCAGCAACGCCGCGUGAAGGAAGAAGGUUUUCGGAUCGUAAACUUCUAUCCCGGGUGAAGAUAAUGACGGUAGCCCGGAAGGAAGCCCCGGCUAACUACGUGCCAGCAGCCGCGGUAAUACGUAGGGGGCAAGCGUUGUCCGGAAUGAUUGGGCGUAAAGGGCGCGUAGGCGGCCUUGUAAGUCCGAUGUGAAAUUCCUGCUUUUAAGGUAGGAAUUGCAUUGGAAACUGCGGGGCUUGAGUGCAGGAGAGGUAAGCGGAAUUCCCGGUGUAGCGGUGAAAUGCGUAGAGAUCGGGAGGAACACCAGUGGCGAAGGCGGCUUACUGGACUGUAACUGACGCUGAGGCGCGAAAGUGUGGGGAGCAAACA